rnacentral:rRNA from 1 species
UACAGAGGGGGCGAGCGUUGUUCGGAAUUACUGGGCGUAAAGGGCACGUAGGCGGCCUUCUAAGUCGAACGUGAAAUCCCCGGGCUCAACCCGGGAACUGCGUCCGAUACUGGGAGGCUUGAAUCCGGGAGAGGGAUGUGGAAUUCCAGGUGUAGCGGUGAAAUGCGUAGAUAUCUGGAGGAACACCGGUGGCGAAGGCGGCAUCCUGGACCGGUAUUGACGCUGAGGCGCGAAAGCCAGGGGAGCAAAGCGGG